UACGUAGGGUGCAAGCGUUGUCCGGAAUUAUUGGGCGUAAAGAGCUCGUAGGCGGCUUGUCGCGUCGGCUGUGAAAACCUGGGGCUCAACCCCGGGCCUGCAGCCGAUACGGGCAAGCUAGAAUUCGGUAGGGGAGACUGGAAUUCCUGGUGUAGCGGUGAAAUGCGCAGAUAUCAAGAGGAACACCAGUGGCGAAGGCGAGUCCCUGGACAACACCUGACACUGAGGCACGAAAGCUAGGGGAGCAAACAGG
rnacentral:rRNA from 1 species